AUGACAACUUAAUGAAUAAUGAUUCACAAAGGCCCAAUUAGCCCAAUAAUACCCUAAGGCCGGCCAUUUAAAGAUGGAGUGAGUUUUGGACUUAUUUACAAGUUUGCCACUCCAAUGAAUUAAGGUAUAAAUAUGACUUUAUAGCCAAAAUUCAUUUAGGGUUUUCUUUUAGGGAAAGGAUGAGAACAUAAGCUCUCCUUUCUCUCUAAAGUGGCCGGCCUCCUUGGAGGGUUUAGCUAGCAAUCCUACUACUCCAAGGUCACUCAUUUCUUCUCCAACUAACCUUGGUGUAGAGACUUAGAGGUUCUCAAUUUUGGGAACUUGGAGAACCAUUUGAUGUUGGAAAUGUGCCCUAAAACCAAUCAUGUGAUGAUACUUUACGGACAUUUCACAUGUUAAACUAAUCUACUUUAAAUAUAAAGGGCAAAGAUUAUUGUUUGAGCCGUCUCAUAUAAAUGUUAUAUGCUUAAACGAUAAGUCCAAGGAAUAUGUGAUUGGAAGAAUACGAUCUAAAGAAGUUAGAUUCAUGAGACCAUUCUUUCGUAGACACAUCCUAAACAUUCCUGAUCAUAGG
rnacentral:lncRNA from 1 species